AAAUAAAGCAAAUCUAAGUGAGAGAUAAUUAUGAGUGAUGGCCAUGGCAUGGAAGAAGGUGAGACUUGCAUGAAUCGUGAAUCAAAACCUCCAUGAUUAUCACUGCAAGUCGUACCUUUUUCCUAGCCAUGAUAAUCACUGAGUAUUAAAUCUUAGAUCUUGUACUAUUU